GGGUUGUGAGGUUAAGCGACUAAGCGUACACGGUGGAUGCCCUGGCAGUCAGAGGCGAUGAAGGACGUGCUAAUCUGCGAUAAGCGUCGGUAAGGUGAUAUGAACCGUUAUAACCGGCGAUUUCCGAAUGGGGAAACCCAGUGUGAUUCGUCACACUAUCAUUAACUGAAUCCAUAGGUUAAUGAGGCGAACCGGGGGAACUGAAACAUCUAAGUACCCCGAGGAAAAGAAAUCAACCGAGAUUCCCCCAGUAGCGGCGAGCGAACGGGGAGCAGCCCAGAGCCUGAAUCAGUGUGUGUGUUAGUGGAAGCGUCUGGAAAGGCGCGCGAUACAGGGUGACAGCCCCGUACACAAAAAUGCACAUACUGUGAGCUCGAUGAGUAGGGCGGGACACGUGGUAUCCUGUCUGAAUAUGGGGGGACCAUCCUCCAAGGCUAAAUACUCCUGACUGACCGAUAGUGAACCAGUACCGUGAGGGAAAGGCGAAAAGAACCCCGGCGAGGGGAGUGAAAAAGAACCUGAAACCGUGUACGUACAAGCAGUGGGAGCCUCUUUAUGGGGUGACUGCGUACCUUUUGUAUAAUGGGUCAGCGACUUAUAUUCUGUAGCAAGGUUAACCGAAUAGGGGAGCCGAAGGGAAACCGAGUCUUAACUGGGCGUUAAGUUGCAGGGUAUAGACCCGAAACCCGGUGAUCUAGCCAUGGGCAGGUUGAAGGUUGGGUAACACUAACUGGAGGACCGAACCGACUAAUGUUGAAAAAUUAGCGGAUGACUUGUGGCUGGGGGUGAAAGGCCAAUCAAACCGGGAGAUAGCUGGUUCUCCCCGAAAGCUAUUUAGGUAGCGCCUCGUGAAUUCAUCUCCGGGGGUAGAGCACUGUUUCGGCAAGGGGGUCAUCCCGACUUACCAACCCGAUGCAAACUGCGAAUACCGGAGAAUGUUAUCACGGGAGACACACGGCGGGUGCUAACGUCCGUCGUGAAGAGGGAAACAACCCAGACCGCCAGCUAAGGUCCCAAAGUCAUGGUUAAGUGGGAAACGAUGUGGGAAGGCCCAGACAGCCAGGAUGUUGGCUUAGAAGCAGCCAUCAUUUAAAGAAAGCGUAAUAGCUCACUGGUCGAGUCGGCCUGCGCGGAAGAUGUAACGGGGCUAAACCAUGCACCGAAGCUGCGGCAGCGACGCUUAUGCGUUGUUGGGUAGGGGAGCGUUCUGUAAGCCUGUGAAGGUGGCCUGUGAGGGUUGCUGGAGGUAUCAGAAGUGCGAAUGCUGACAUAAGUAACGAUAAAGCGGGUGAAAAGCCCGCUCGCCGGAAGACCAAGGGUUCCUGUCCAACGUUAAUCGGGGCAGGGUGAGUCGACCCCUAAGGCGAGGCCGAAAGGCGUAGUCGAUGGGAAACAGGUUAAUAUUCCUGUACUUGGUGUUACUGCGAAGGGGGGACGGAGAAGGCUAUGUUGGCCGGGCGACGGUUGUCCCGGUUUAAGCGUGUAGGCUGGUUUUCCAGGCAAAUCCGGAAAAUCAAGGCUGAGGCGUGAUGACGAGGCACUACGGUGCUGAAGCAACAAAUGCCCUGCUUCCAGGAAAAGCCUCUAAGCAUCAGGUAACAUCAAAUCGUACCCCAAACCGACACAGGUGGUCAGGUAGAGAAUACCAAGGCGCUUGAGAGAACUCGGGUGAAGGAACUAGGCAAAAUGGUGCCGUAACUUCGGGAGAAGGCACGCUGAUGCGUAGGUGAAGCGACUUGCUCGUGGAGCUGAAAUCAGUCGAAGAUACCAGCUGGCUGCAACUGUUUAUUAAAAACACAGCACUGUGCAAACACGAAAGUGGACGUAUACGGUGUGACGCCUGCCCGGUGCCGGAAGGUUAAUUGAUGGGGUCAGCCGCAAGGCGAAGCUCUUGAUCGAAGCCCCGGUAAACGGCGGCCGUAACUAUAACGGUCCUAAGGUAGCGAAAUUCCUUGUCGGGUAAGUUCCGACCUGCACGAAUGGCGUAAUGAUGGCCAGGCUGUCUCCACCCGAGACUCAGUGAAAUUGAACUCGCUGUGAAGAUGCAGUGUACCCGCGGCAAGACGGAAAGACCCCGUGAACCUUUACUAUAGCUUGACACUGAACAUUGAGCCUUGAUGUGUAGGAUAGGUGGGAGGCUUUGAAGCGUGGACGCCAGUCUGCGUGGAGCCGACCUUGAAAUACCACCCUUUAAUGUUUGAUGUUCUAACGUGGACCCGUGAUCCGGGUUGCGGACAGUGUCUGGUGGGUAGUUUGACUGGGGCGGUCUCCUCCUAAAGAGUAACGGAGGAGCACGAAGGUUGGCUAAUCCUGGUCGGACAUCAGGAGGUUAGUGCAAUGGCAUAAGCCAGCUUGACUGCGAGCGUGACGGCGCGAGCAGGUGCGAAAGCAGGUCAUAGUGAUCCGGUGGUUCUGAAUGGAAGGGCCAUCGCUCAACGGAUAAAAGGUACUCCGGGGAUAACAGGCUGAUACCGCCCAAGAGUUCAUAUCGACGGCGGUGUUUGGCACCUCGAUGUCGGCUCAUCACAUCCUGGGGCUGAAGUAGGUCCCAAGGGUAUGGCUGUUCGCCAUUUAAAGUGGUACGCGAGCUGGGUUUAGAACGUCGUGAGACAGUUCGGUCCCUAUCUGCCGUGGGCGCUGGAGAACUGAGGGGGGCUGCUCCUAGUACGAGAGGACCGGAGUGGACGCAUCACUGGUGUUCGGGUUGUCAUGCCAAUGGCACUGCCCGGUAGCUAAAUGCGGAAGAGAUAAGUGCUGAAAGCAUCUAAGCACGAAACUUGCCCCGAGAUGAGUUCUCCCUGACUCCUUGAGAGUCCUGAAGGAACGUUGAAGACGACGACGUUGAUAGGCCGGGUGUGUAAGCGCAGCGAUGCGUUGAGCUAACCGGUACUAAUGAACCGUGAGGCUUAACCUUACAACGCCGAAGGUGUUU
rnacentral:rRNA from 1 species